AUCUAGCUUACGAGUCCCAAAUAGAACGGAACGCACGUCAAACUGGAU
rfam:Schistosoma mansoni strain Puerto Rico chromosome 6, complete genome